AACGAACGCUGGCGGCAUGCCUAACACAUGCAAGUCGAACGAGACCUUCGGGUCUAGUGGCGCACGGGUGCGUAACGCGUGGGAAUCUGCCUAAAGGUUCGGAAUAACAGUUAGAAAUGACUGCUAAUACCGGAUGAUGUCUUCGGACCAAAGAUUUAUCGCCUUUAGAUGAGCCCGCGUAGGAUUAGCUUGUUGGUGGGGUAAAGGCCUACCAAGGCGACGAUCCUUAGCUGGUCUGAGAGGAUGAGCAGCCACACUGGGACUGAGACACGGCCCAGACUCCUACGGGAGGCAGCAGUGGGGAAUAUUGGACAAUGGGCGAAAGCCUGAUCCAGCAAUGCCGCGUGAGUGAUGAAGGCCUUAGGGUUGUAAAGCUCUUUUACCCGGGAUGAUAAUGACAGUACCGGGAGAAUAAGCCCCGGCUAACUCCGUGCCAGCCGCCGCGGUAA
rnacentral:rRNA from 1 species